CCCAUUUACUUGAACUCCUCUCUUGUAAGAUUUCAAGCCUGAAUUUUCGGGAUUGUAGGAAUUUCAAUCCCUAAAAAUAUCUUUCUUUUUUUUUUUUUUCUUUCCUGAGAGUCCCUCAAGGUCCUGCGUCACAUUUGCUCAGGGACAGGCCUGCUAACAUCCUUUUGUUCCAAAGCCCUUACCCAAAUGCCAUAACGCCACUUCUCUCAUCUCCUGGCUCAAGAUCUCUGCUCUCUGCAGAUUGGAUGUUGGUUGCAGGAAUGGCAAGGCAAACCUCCCAGUUUGCUAAAGGCAAUGAAGCUAAUGCCCUGGGAAGAGAGGGGAUGUCAUUGUCAAUUUGGAGAGGAAGAAGCCCACAUCACACGAAAAGCUUGAUAAGAUCCUUGCUGGUGUUCUCAGGAUAAUCCCAGUCAGUGAUUCUGUACUUCAGAGCACCAUCAGCUGUUGACACUCUGGAAGGAAUCAAUGGGGAAGCCAAGAUGACGUGAGAAGAAAGAAGCAUAGGAGAGAAGCCAGCCAUAGGAAAAGCUAAGCACCUAGUACUCAGCUGUGCCAAAGAGAUUUGGGGGUGGGAUUUCUCUUACUGCACCCUGGGUCCUUCAGCAAAAAUCAAAGCCAGAAUAGGGAGACAGUGCUCCAAAAGGGCUAGCUCCUUUUAACUAUGAAGGAGCCAGACUGAGUGCAGGUGGGGUGUGGCUAUGGAUUUUGAGAAUGAAGAAGGUGCUGCUGAGGAGUCAGCCCACUUAUUUAGUCAGAUCUAAACCUCCAUGUUGUUGCCAUAAGGCCAAGACAAAAUUUUUAUUCCAGUCACAUAAGGCCAAGACAAAACUUCCCCAGCCUCAUGGAAAAGAAGGUGGAUUUGGAAUGGAAAAGAUGGAGACCUAGCACCUGGGAGAGGAGGCUGUGAAAUCAACUUAGGAUUUAGGUUCCUCACACAGCUUGGCCUUGUUUAUUGUGCAAUGGUUCUCAGGCCCUGGCUCCGGAGGGUCCACUGCUAUGACUAAAAGACCUAAUCUUCUUUCUCCACAGUCUUCCAAAUGGUCCAACCUACUCUCUAUGGCAAAACAUUCCUUUAUAUUAUGGUUUGAUCUC